UCUGGGAGUGUAGGUCAACUCCUGUGAUCCUUGCUAUUGGGGAGUUUGAGACUGGAGGAUUGCUUGAGCUCAGGAUUUCUGAGCUGCAAUAGGGCUAAAGAUGAUUGGGUGUCUAUACUGAGUUUGGUACCAAUGUGGUGAGUCCCCUGGGAAUAAGUCGCUUAAGGUGAGGCAAACUGACCCAUGUUGGAAACCAAGCAGGUCAAAGCUUCCAUGCUUCUCAGCAGUGGAAUUGGGCCCCUUUAGGGCCUGAUGUACUUUAGGGGCUGAUGUACUUCCAGCCUCAGAGACUUAGAGAGACCUAGACUCAA
rnacentral:SRP_RNA from 1 species